AAUCAACGCUGGCGGCGUGCCUCAGACAUGCAAGUCGAACGAUUAAAGCUCUCUUCGGAGAGUGUAUAGAGUGGCGCACGGGUGAGUAACACGUAAGUAAUCUACCUUCGAGUGGGGAAUAACACCGAGAAAUCGGUGCUAAUACCGCAUAAUGCAGCGGCAUCGCAAGAUGACAGUUGUUAAAGAAUUUAUUCGCUUGAAGAGGAGCUUGCGGCAGAUUAGCUAGUUGGUAAGGUAAUGGCUUACCAAGGCUACGAUCUGUAACCGGUCUAAGAGGACGGUCGGUCACACUGACACUGAAUAACGGGUCAGACUCCUAC
rnacentral:rRNA from 1 species